GAUGAACGCUGGCGGCGUGCUUAACACAUGCAAGUCGAACGAAGCACUUUAUUUGAUUUCCUUCGGGACUGAUUAUUUUGUGACUGAGUGGCGGACGGGUGAGUAACGCGUGGGUAACCUGCCUUGUACAGGGGGUAACAGUUGGAAACGGCUGCUAAUACCGCCUAAGCGCACGGCAUCGCAUGAUGCCGGGUGAAAAACUCCGGUGGUAUAAGAUGGACCCGCGUUGGAUUAGCUAGUUGGUGAGGUAACGGCCCACCAAGGCGACGAUCCAUAGCCGACCUGAGAGGGUGACCGGCCACAUUGGGACUGAGACACGGCCCAAACUCCUACGGGAGGCAGCAGUGGGGAAUAUUGCACAAUGGGCGAAAGCCUGAUGCAGCGACGCCGCGUGAGCGAAGAAGUAUUUCGGUAUGUAAAGCUCUAUCAGCAGGGAAGAUAAUGACGGUACCUGACUAAGAAGCACCGGCUAAAUACGUG
rnacentral:rRNA from 1 species